UACGUAGGGUGCAAGCGUUGUCCGGAAUUAUUGGGCGUAAAGAGCUCGUAGGCGGUCUGUCGCGUCGGCUGUGAAAACCCGGGGCUCAACCCCGGGCCUGCAGUCGAUACGGGCAGACUAGAGUGCGGUAGGGGAGACUGGAAUUCCUGGUGUAGCGGUGAAUGCGCAGAUAUCAGGAGGAACACCGGAGUCGGAAGGCGGUCUCUGGGCCGUAACUGACGUCUGAGGAGCGAAAGCGUGGGGGAGCAA
rnacentral:rRNA from 1 species